AAGGGAUUGGACCCUUAGCUGUCUGGCUGCAACUCACCUGCUGUGCCCUCAGCUUUUUCUGGUGUGCAGAUAGAGGGUGGGACUGGCAUUGCCUGGGACAGUCCCUAACCUGGGACAGCCUUCGAUGAUAUCACACCUGCACACCUCUGCAAGGAACCCGGUGGAGAGGAUGAGUGAAAUAGCCUGUGGGCAGCAGAGCCUGGAAGAACAGAGAACGACAAGCCUGUGCAGCCUUGGACUGUUUUGCUCUAAACAAGAAGAAAUCUACAAGGAAAGGAAGAAAUGUAGGAGAGAGUCCAGAUUCCAAUGAGACUCGGGCCUGACUCUAACCAGCUCAUGGCCUGGAAACUUUCCUCCCUUCCACAUUUUCUUGUCCAGGGUA
rnacentral:lncRNA from 1 species